GGUUAAGCGACUAAGCGUACACGGUGGAUGCCCUGGCAGUCAGAGGCGAUGAAGGGCGUGCUAAUCUGCGAUAAGCGCCGGUAAGGUGAUAUGAACCGUUAUAACCGGCGAUACCCGAAUGGGGAAACCCAGUGUGACUCGUCACACUAUCAUUAACUGAAUCCAUAGGUUAAUGAGGCGAACCGGGGGAACUGAAACAUCUAAGUACCCCGAGGAAAAGAAAUCAACCGAGAUUCCCCCAGUAGCGGCGAGCGAACGGGGAGGAGCCCAGAGCCUGAAUCAGCAUGUGUGUUAGUGGAAGCGUCUGGAAAGGCGCGCGAUACAGGGUGACAGCCCCGUACACAAAAAGCGCAUGUGCUGUGAGCUCGAUGAGUAGGGCGGGACACGUGGUAUCCUGUCUGAAUAUGGGGGGACCAUCCUCCAAGGCUAAAUACUCCUGACUGACCGAUAGUGAACCAGUACCGUGAGGGAAAGGCGAAAAGAACCCCGGCGAGGGGAGUGAAAAGAACCUGAAACCGUGUACGUACAAGCAGUGGGAGCACAGGUUUACCUGUGUGACUGCGUACCUUUUGUAUAAUGGGUCAGCGACUUAUAUUCUGUAGCAAGGUUAACCGAAUAGGGGAGCCGGAGGGAAACCGAGUCUUAACCGGGCGUUAAGUUGCAGGGUAUAGACCCGAAACCCGGUGAUCUAGCCAUGGGCAGGUUGAAGGUUGGGUAACACUAACUGGAGGACCGAACCGACUAAUGUUGAAAAAUUAGCGGAUGACCUGUGGCUGGGGGUGAAAGGCCAAUCAAACCGGGAGAUAGCUGGUUCUCCCCGAAAGCUAUUUAGGUAGCGCCUCGUGAAUUCAUCUCCGGGGGUAGAGCACUGUUUCGGCUAGGGGGCCAUCCCGGCUUACCAACCCGAUGCAAACUGCGAAUACCGGAGAAUGUUAUCACGGGAGACACACGGCGGGUGCUAACGUCCGUCGUGAAGAGGGAAACAACCCAGACCGCCAGCUAAGGUCCCAAAGUCAUGGUUAAGUGGGAAACGAUGUGGGAAGGCCCAGACAGCCAGGAUGUUGGCUUAGAAGCAGCCAUCAUUUAAAGAAAGCGUAAUAGCUCACUGGUCGAGUCGGCCUGCGCGGAAGAUGUAACGGGGCUAAACCAUGCACCGAAGCUGCGGCAGCGAACGUAUCACUUAAAGCGAUUCAGCGGGUUACGAUUGACGGAGCGAAGCGACGUCAAAGCGUAUACAAAGUCGAGUCGGUUUAAGGAUACGUUCGUUGGGUAGGGGAGCGUUCUGUAAGCCUGUGAAGGUGUGUCGUGAGGCAUGCUGGAGGUAUCAGAAGUGCGAAUGCUGACAUAAGUAACGAUAAAGCGGGUGAAAAGCCCGCUCGCCGGAAGACCAAGGGUUCCUGUCCAACGUUAAUCGGGGCAGGGUGAGUCGACCCCUAAGGCGAGGCCGAAAGGCGUAGUCGAUGGGAAACGGGUUAAUAUUCCCGUACUUGGUGUUACUGCGAAGGGGGGACGGAGAAGGCUAUGUUGGCCGGGCGACGGUUGUCCCGGUUUAAGCGUGUAGGCUGGUUUUCCAGGCAAAUCCGGAAAAUCAAGGCUGAGGCGUGAUGACGAGGCACUACGGUGCUGAAGCAACAAAUGCCCUGCUUCCAGGAAAAGCCUCUAAGCAUCAGGUAACAUCAAAUCGUACCCCAAACCGACACAGGUGGUCAGGUAGAGAAUACCAAGGCGCUUGAGAGAACUCGGGUGAAGGAACUAGGCAAAAUGGUGCCGUAACUUCGGGAGAAGGCACGCUGACAUGUAGGUGAAGUGAUUUACUCAUGGAGCUGAAGUCAGUCGAAGAUACCAGCUGGCUGCAACUGUUUAUUAAAAACACAGCACUGUGCAAACACGAAAGUGGACGUAUACGGUGUGACGCCUGCCCGGUGCCGGAAGGUUAAUUGAUGGGGUCAGCGCAAGCGAAGCUCCUGAUCGAAGCCCCGGUAAACGGCGGCCGUAACUAUAACGGUCCUAAGGUAGCGAAAUUCCUUGUCGGGUAAGUUCCGACCUGCACGAAUGGCGUAAUGAUGGCCAGGCUGUCUCCACCCGAGACUCAGUGAAAUUGAACUCGCUGUGAAGAUGCAGUGUACCCGCGGCAAGACGGAAAGACCCCGUGAACCUUUACUAUAGCUUGACACUGAACAUUGAGCCUUGAUGUGUAGGAUAGGUGGGAGGCUUUGAAGCGUGGACGCCAGUCUGCGUGGAGCCGACCUUGAAAUACCACCCUUUAAUGUUUGAUGUUCUAACGUGGACCCGUGAUCCGGGUUGCGGACAGUGUCUGGUGGGUAGUUUGACUGGGGCGGUCUCCUCCUAAAGAGUAACGGAGGAGCACGAAGGUUGGCUAAUCCUGGUCGGACAUCAGGAGGUUAGUGCAAUGGCAUAAGCCAGCUUGACUGCGAGCGUGACGGCGCGAGCAGGUGCGAAAGCAGGUCAUAGUGAUCCGGUGGUUCUGAAUGGAAGGGCCAUCGCUCAACGGAUAAAAGGUACUCCGGGGAUAACAGGCUGAUACCGCCCAAGAGUUCAUAUCGACGGCGGUGUUUGGCACCUCGAUGUCGGCUCAUCACAUCCUGGGGCUGAAGUAGGUCCCCAAGGGUAUGGCUGUUCGCCAUUUAAAGUGGUACGCGAGCUGGGUUUAGAACGUCGUGAGACAGUUCGAUUCCUAUCUGCCGUGGGCGCUGGAGAACUGAGGGGGCUGCUCCUAGUACGAGAGGACCGGAGUGGACGCAUCACUGGUGUUCGGGUUGUCAUGCCAAUGGCACUGCCCGGUAGCUAAAUGCGGAAGAGAUAAGUGCUGAAAGCAUCUAAGCACGAAACUUGCCCCGAGAUGAGUUCUCCCUGAGACUUAAAGUCUCCUGAAGGAACGUUGAAGACGACGACGUUGAUAGGCCGGGUGUGUAAGCGCAGCGAUGCGUUGAGCUAACCGGUACUAAUGAACCGUGAGGCUUAACCUU
rnacentral:rRNA from 1 species